rnacentral:piRNA from 1 species
UAAGCUUGGGAUAAAGAAGCUAUUGGGUC